AGCCUUCUGUAUCCUUGUUGAGAUUUUAUCACACCAGACCUAAAGGGCAUAUGAGAUUCCCAAGAUAAGUGAAGCG
rnacentral:pre_miRNA from 1 species